rnacentral:tRNA from 3 species
CGGGGCGUAGCGCAGGUGGCUAGCGCAUCUGCUUUGGGAGCAGAGGGUCGCCCGUUCAAAUCGGGUCGCCCCGACCA